AAUAUAGGACUCACAAGUAAAUUGAAAUUUCAGAUAACACAUAAUUUUUUAGUACAUGUAUUCUAUGUGAUAUUUAGGACAUUCUUAUGCUAAAAGAUUAUAUAGUGUUUAUCUGAAAUUCAAAUUUAACUGGCCAUCCUAUAUUUU
rnacentral:miRNA from 1 species